rnacentral:rRNA from 1 species
UGAACGCUGGCGGCGUGCUUAACACAUGCAAGUCGUAACGGAGUUUUAAGUGGAAGUUUCGGAUGGAAGUUAAAACUUAGUGGCGGACGGGUGAGUAACGCGUGGGUAACCUGCCUCAUACAGGGGGAUAACAGUUAGAAAUGACUGCUAAGACCGCAUAAUAUAGCGAAACCGCAUGAUUUUUGCUAUCAAAUAUUUAUAGGUAUGAGAUGGGCCCGCGUCUGAUUAGCUAGUUGGUGGGGUAAAAGCCUACCAAGGCGACGAUCAGUAGCCGGCUUGAGAGAGUGACCGGCCACAUUGGGACUGAGACACGGCCCAAACUCCUACGGGAGGCAGCAGUGGGGAAUAUUGGACAAUGGGGGAAACCCUGAUCCAGCGAACCGCCGCGUGAGUGAAGAAGUAUUUCGGUAUGUAAAGCUCUAUCAGCAGGGAAGAUAAUGACAGUACCUGACUAAGAAGCCCCGGCUAACUACGUGCCAGCCGCUGC